rnacentral:rRNA from 1 species
CCUACGGGAGGCAGCAGUAGGGAAUAUUGCUCAAUGGGGGAAACCCUGAAGCAGCAACGCCGCGUGGAGGAUGAAGGUUUUCGGAUUGUAAACCUCUUUUGUUAGAGAAGAUAAUGACGGUACCUGACGAAGAAGCACCGUCUAACUACGUGCCAGCAGCCGCGGUAAUAAGGAGGGUGCAAGCGUUAAUCGGAAUCACGGGGCGUUAAGGGCGCGUAGGCGGGUUAGCAAGUCAGAUGUGAAAUGCUAGGGCUUAAACCUCGAACUGCCGUUGAAACUGUGAUUCUUGAGUAUGGGAGAGGUAGGUGGAAUGCGUGGUGUAGGGGUGAAAUGCGUAGAGAGGACGAGGAAUACUGAUUGCGAAGGCGACCUGCUAGAACAUAACUGACGCUGAUGCGCGAAAGCGUGGGGAGCAAACAGGAUUAGAUACCCUAGUAGUC